AGAGGGAGAUGUUCUUUGACUGAUGUGACAGUUGAGUGGUUGGAUAUUCUUUGCUGUGGUUGGAUAUUCUUUGCUGUGGUUGGAAGUUUUGUUUGAUUUUAUUGUCGGUUUGAGCUAAAUGUUGGUUAUAAAAUGUUUUGAGAGAUGGGAUAGCAUAUCAUUUUAUUUCCAAAACUAGUUACUACGACAAACAAAACACACAAUUAAUGAGUGAGAUAGAAAAAAAGAUAGAGAUGGAGGAGGAGGAGGAGAUGAUUGAUCAUUGGAGCCACAAGCAUCCACUUACUCUGGCGGAUACUAUUGGAAGCGAUAGAUGUUAUGGUUGUCAACGUUCAUUUAGUAGCGGAGAGCAAGCUUAUGGGUGCAGCAUCCCGGGAUGCGAGUAUCCGAACCUAUUACACGAAGAAUGUUCAGCAACGGUGAGAGAGAUACGACAUCCAUUGCACACUCAACACAUACUCAGCCAACGCCACAGUCAAGAAUUAUUUAGGUGUCUUAUCUGCGAAGAUUUUAUUUAUAGCAUUUGUUACAAAUGUACAAGCUCGGGAUGUAGCUUCGAGGUGCACCUUAUGUGCGCGCACGACAAGGGCGUGGUCGAUGCAAAUCACCCCGAGCAUGAAUUGAAGCUGUGGAGGAGAAGAUGUUCCUUCAAGUGUGAUGCUUGCGGCAUCACAAGCCGGGGAAGCUCCUACACAUGUAUCAAGGGUGAUUGCCAAUAUUGGAUCCAUGAGAGAUGUGCUUCCUUGCCUCAAACUCUCAAAAGGGAAGACCAUCAUCACUAUCUGUCUCUCUCUUCAUACAUCCCACUUUAAUAUUUCAAAUUUGGCUACAAAUGUGAUGUGUGCAGCAAAAUUUUGCCCCUCAAAUAUUGGAUAUAUCAUUGUCAAAUAUGUAGGUUUAUUGUCCACAUCAAAUGUGCCUUCAACAAGCCGCCUCCUCGCAUCACUGAUGCAUCCACCGCAACUCAUAUAGUAGUUUGAUGAUGAUGAUGAUGAUGAUGAUGAUGAUGAUGAUGAUGAUGAUGAAGAUAUAGGAGUGAUGCACCCAUCACAUAUCAAUUCUGAAUGGUUCAAGGCUCGGCUGUCUCGAACGGGGCUUGUGUUGGUGGGCCUGCACUUCUUAAGCCUGUAUCAACCUUGUCUGUUUCACACGCUUCAUAGAUUAGCCAAAAGUAGCAUAAAUCAAUUACUGAAAACAGAAUCAAGUGAAAUCCAUUUGUACCAUGGUUCAAACUUCAAAUCGAAUGUAGGGACUGUUCCUACACUGCUUUAUUA